UCAGGUGACUAUAGCAUCAGGGUUCCACCUCUUCCCAUUCCGAACAGAGAAGUUAAGCCUGAUCACGCCGAUGGUACUGCGUAACAGUGGGAGAGUAGGUAGUUGCCGUUU
rnacentral:rRNA from 2 species